UGGGGAAUAUUGCACAAUGGGCGGAAGCCUGAUGCAGCGACGCCGCGUGGGGGAUGAAGGCCUUCGGGUUGUAAACUCCUUUCGACAGGGACGAAGCUUUUGUGACGGUACCUGUAUAAGAAGCACCGGCUAACCACGUGCCAGCAGCCGCGGUAAUACGUAGGGUGCGAGCGUUGUCCGGAAUUACUGGGCGUAAAGAGCUCGUAGGUGGUUUGUCGCGUCGUCUGUGAAAUUCCGGGGCUUAACUCCGGGCGUGCAGGCGAUACGGGCUGACUUGAGUGCUGUAGGGGAGACUGGAAUUCCUGGUGUAGCGGUGAAAUGCGCAGAUAUCAGGAGGAACACCGAUGGCGAAGGCAGGUCUCUGGGCAGUAACUGACGCUGAGGAGCGAAAGCAUGGGUAGCGAACAGG
rnacentral:rRNA from 1 species